rnacentral:rRNA from 1 species
CGCGUAGGCGGGACUGCAAGUCAGAUGUGAAAUCUGGGGGCUUAACCCUCAAACUGCAUUUGAAACUGUAGUUCUUGAGUAUCGGAGAGGCAGGCGGAAUUCCAAGUGUAGCGGUGAAAUGCGUAGAUAUUUGGAGGAACACCAGUGGCGAAGGCGGCCUGCUGGACGACAACUGACGCUGAGGCGCGAAAGCGUGGGGAGCAAACAGGAUUAGAUACCCUGGUAGUCCACGCUGUAAACGAUGAAUACUAGGUGUGGGGGGACUAACCCCCUCCGUGCCGCAGUUAACACAAUAAGUAUUCCACCUGGGGAGUACGGCCGCAAGGUUGAA